UGGGGAAUAUUGCACAAUGGGGGAGGACCCUGAUGCAGCGACGCCGCGUGAGCGAAGAAGUAUUUCGGUAUGUAAAGCUCUAUCAGCAGGGAAGAAGAUGACGGUACCUGACUAAGAAGCUCCGGCUAAAUACGUGCCAGCAGCCGCGGUAAUACGUAUGGAGCAAGCGUUAUCCGGAUUUACUGGGUGUAAAGGGAGCGCAGGCGGCGCGGCAAGUCUGAUGUGAAAAUACCGGGGGCCCAACCCCGGGACUGCAUUGGAAACUGUCGGGCUAGAGUGUCGGAGGGGCAGGCGGAAUUCCUAGUGUAGCGGUGAAAUGCGUAGAUAUUAGGAGGAACACCGGUGGCGAAGGCGGCCUGCUGGACGACAACUGACGCUGAGGCUCGAAAGCGUGGGGAGCAAACAGGAUUAGAUACCC
rnacentral:rRNA from 1 species